rnacentral:rRNA from 1 species
UACGUAGGAUGCAAGCGUUGUCCGGAUUUACUGGGCGUAAAGCGCGCGCAGGCGGCACAUUAAGUAAGGUGUGAAAUAUCCCGGCUCAACCGGGAGGGUGCACUUUAGACUGAUGAGCUUGAGGUCGGUAGAGGGGGGUGGAAUUGCUGGUGUAGCGGUGAAAUGCGCAGAUAUCGGAGGAAGAACAAGCCAUAGGGCGAAGGCAGCUGGCGUUGG